ACGUAGGGGGCAAGCGUUAUCCGGAUUUACUGGGUGUAAAGGGAGCGUAGACGGCACGGCAAGCCAGAUGUGAAAGCCCGGGGCUCAACCCCGGGACUGCAUUUGGAACUGCUGAGCUAGAGUGUCGGAGAGGCAAGUGGAAUUCCUAGUGUAGCGGUGAAAUGCGUAGAUAUUAGGAGGAACACCAGUGGCGAAGGCGACUUGCUGGACGAUGACUGACGUUGAGGCUCGAAAGCGUGGGGAGCAAACAG
rnacentral:rRNA from 1 species